rnacentral:rRNA from 1 species
UACGGAGGGUGCAAACGUUGCUCGGAAUCAUUGGGCGUAAAGCGCACGUAGGCGGCCUGAUAAGUCGGGUGUGAAAGCCCUGGGCUCAACCCAGGAAGUGCACUCGAAACUGCCAGGCUUGAAUAUGGAAGAGGGUCGCGGAAUUCCCGGUGUAGAGGUGAAAUGCGUAGAUAUCCAGAGGAACACCAGCGGCGAAGGCGGCUCACUGGGUACCACCUGACGCUGAGGCGCGAAAGCGUGGGGAGCGAACCGG